GGUUAAGCGACUAAGCGUACACGGUGGAUGCCCUGGCAGUCAGAGGCGAUGAAGGACGUGCUAAUCUGCGAUAAGCGCCGGUAAGGUGAUAUGAACCGUUAUAACCGGCGAUUUCCGAAUGGGGAAACCCAGUGUGACUCGUCACACUAUCAUUAACUGAAUCCAUAGGUUAAUGAGGCGAACCGGGGGAACUGAAACAUCUAAGUACCCCGAGGAAAAGAAAUCAACCGAGAUUCCCCCAGUAGCGGCGAGCGAACGGGGAGGAGCCCAGAGCCUGAAUCAGCAUGUGUGUUAGUGGAAGCGUCUGGAAAGGCGCGCGAUACAGGGUGACAGCCCCGUACACAAAAGCGCAUGUGCUGUGAGCUCGAUGAGUAGGGCGGGACACGUGGUAUCCUGUCUGAAUAUGGGGGGACCAUCCUCCAAGGCUAAAUACUCCUGACUGACCGAUAGUGAACCAGUACCGUGAGGGAAAGGCGAAAAGAACCCCGGCGAGGGGAGUGAAAAAGAACCUGAAACCGUGUACGUACAAGCAGUGGGAGCACAGGUUUACCUGUGUGACUGCGUACCUUUUGUAUAAUGGGUCAGCGACUUAUAUUCUGUAGCAAGGUUAACCGAAUAGGGGAGCCGGAGGGAAACCGAGUCUUAAUUGGGCGUUAAGUUGCAGGGUAUAGACCCGAAACC
rnacentral:rRNA from 1 species